CAUAAACUGCCGCCGGGUAGCAAAACGCCACGUCAGAUUUCAUGUCAUUAGGCCGUAGAAGACAUGAAAGGCUGGCGCUUUUUCAAU
rnacentral:ncRNA from 1 species